UACGAAGGGGGCUAGCGUUGUUCGGAUUUACUGGGCGUAAAGCGCACGUAGGCGGAUCGUUAAGUCGGGGGUGAAAUCCUGGAGCUCAACUCCAGAACUGCCUUCGAUACUGGCGAUCUUGAGUCCGGAAGAGGUGAGUGGAACUCCUAGUGUAGAGGUGGAAUUCGUAGAUAUCGGGAGGAACACCGGUGGCGAAGGCGGCGAUCUGGGUCGAUACUGACGCUGAGGUGCGAAAGCGUGGGGAGCAAACAGG
rnacentral:rRNA from 1 species